GUUUUUUCUACGUUAUAAAAACGGAAACCUUAUUAAUAUUUUGAAGUAUACUAUCUAGCAAUUACCCAUUUAUCAUGGUACUAUUGUGAGAAAGCAAAACCCUAUGCUUUGUCAUCCGCUAUAAAAAAUGCCGCCAAAUUUAGUUACACCGAUUUUCGGGUGACGUCCACUAGUAUGGAGGUUCAGAUUUGACUACCACUGCCUCUCACUCAUUCACUGGCGUACUACGCACCCAAGACUCUAGACGAGGUUGAUUAUAUCAGGGCGCCUUAAAAAAACACACUGUAUUAAAACGCUGUUGGUGUUUUAUUACGCCCUGAUUAUAUAAAGUCCUGACAUCGUUGGUUGAUGUGUACCGCUGGAACACCGCAGGCUUUAGACGCCAUUUUGAUUUAUAUUGUCUAGAUGUGUGUGUUUUUUACACUGUUGGAUUCUGUUUAUAUAGUUAUUUCUCUUUAAACUAAAGCGGGUUUAUUCAACCACGCUGUUGUAUGGAGUUUGGGUGCUUUUAUUGACCUCAUUUUGGAAUUGGAAACAUCAAACAGAAAAAUGUGUGUCUCAGUGUUUGGCCUACAAGAAUGAAGGAAAUUGAUUUGAGUGUUUAUACUUGGAUUGUAUCAUGUCAAAGAGACGAGUGUCUUACUUCUAUGACGAGGAAGUGGGAAAUUUCCACUAUGGUAAGUUAGAUUAGGACAAUUGAUCUUUUUCACUAAUCAAUAGACUACACAGCUGUGACUGUGAGCUGUUUAUUGCGGUUUUAUACCCCAUUUGAGCACGAAACAUGGGAUUAAUAUCAGGG